rnacentral:pre_miRNA from 1 species
AGUGGAAUUGCUGGGUCAUAUGGUAAUUCUAUAUUGAUCUUUUUGAGAAACUGCCAGGCUGUUUUCCAAAGUGCCUGCGCCAUUUUACGUUCUCACCAGCAAU